rnacentral:rRNA from 1 species
CCUACGGGCGGCAGCAGUAGGGAAUCUUCCACAAUGGGCGCAAGCCUGAUGGAGCAACACCGCGUGAGUGAAGAAGGGUUUCGGCUCGUAAAGCUCUGUUGUUGGAGAAGAACGUGCGUGAGAGUAACUGUUCACGCAGUGACGGUAUCCAACCAGCAAGUCACGGCUAACUACGUGCCAGCAGCCGCGGUAAUACGUAGGUGGCAAGCGUUAUCCGGAUUUAUUGGGCGUAAAGCGAGCGCAGGCGGGUGCUUAGGUCUGAUGUGAAAGCCUUCGGCUUAACCGGAGAAGUGCAUCGGAAACCGGGCAACUUGAGUGCAGAAGAGGACAGUGGAACUCCAUGUGUAGCGGUGGAAUGCGUAGAUAUAUGGAAGAACACCAGUGGCGAAGGCGGCUGUCUGGUCUGCAACUGACGCUGAGGCUCGAAAGCAUGGGUAGCGAACAGGAUUAGAUACCCCAGUAGUC